CAAAGAUUCCUCCUCUGUGGAGUUUCCCCUGGGAACCUUGAUCCUUGGAGAUGGGUGAGCAAUCUUUUUCUCUUCCAUUGUAACACUUUUUCAUCACGUUGAUCUUUCCAAUUGUUACAGAUGUCCUUCAUGGAAGUAGGUUUCCUCUUGAGAUAAUCUAUCUUGCUGCCAAGAGGAGGGUUAACGUGGUGUCAGUAUAGCAACAGGACAAACCUUUGGAGCUCCACCCUACAGCACCUUGUUAUUCCUGGAGCACUGCAUAGAUCCUGAACGUGGCUGUACAGGCAUCCCUCCGCUUGCCAGCAUUUUCCAUAUGAGGGCCUUGCUAUGACUAAACACAGUUUUAUAAGUCCCAUGGCAUCCAGCUAUAAAUAAGAAGAUCAAAGCCUUGACCCUUGGAAACUAACUGUGACCUCAUCAUUGAGCAACCGUGCCCCAAAGACUGUAUUAAGCUGGAAGGGAACAUAAAUCUAGGAGGAACUAAUGAAGACCCCCAGGGCCACCCUUCUCUAUAGCUGUCUUGUUAACAUGAUCUAGGAAAGACAGGGGGCCCUUAAAUAAAACAAAAAAAAAACCAGAGGUAAUAAGUGAC
rnacentral:lncRNA from 1 species